GACGAACGCUGGCGGCGUGCUUAACACAUGCGAGUCGAACGGAAAGGCCCUGCUUGCAGGGUACUCGAGUGGCGAACGGGUGAGUAACGCGUGGGUGAUCUGCCCUGCACUUCGGGAUAAGCCUGGGAAACUGGGUCUAAUACCGGAUAGGAGCCAUUUUUAGUGUGAUGGUUGGAAAGUUUUUUCGGUGUAGGAUGAGCUCGCGGCCUAUCAGCUUGUUGGUGGGGUAAUGGCCUACCAAGGCGGCGACGGGUAGCCGGCCUGAGAGGGUGGACGGCCACAUUGGGACUGAGAUACGGCCCAGACUCCUACGGGAGGCAGCAGUGGGGAAUAUUGCACAAUGGGCGCAAGCCUGAUGCAGCGACGCCGCGUGGGGGAUGACGGCCUUCGGGUUGUAAACUCCUUUCGCUAGGGACGAAGCUUUUUGUGACGGUACCUAGAUAAGAAGCACCGGCUAACUACGUG
rnacentral:rRNA from 1 species